rnacentral:rRNA from 1 species
GACGAACGCUGGCGGUAUGCUUAACACAUGCAAGUCGAGCGAGAAUCGUUUUGCUGAAGGCUUCGGUCUGACGCAGAAUGAGGAAAGCGGCGAACGGAUGAGUAACGCGUGGGCAACCUGGCCUUAAGAAAAGGAUAGCCCCCGGAAACGGGGAGUAAUACUUUAUGAGAAUAGAAAAGGGCAUCCUAUUUCUAUUCAAAGCGCAAGCGCUUAAGGAUGGGCCCGCGUAUCAUUAGCUAGUUGGUGAGAUAACAGCCCACCAAGGCAACGAUGAUUAGCCGGUCUGAGAGGGUGAACGGCCACACUGGAACUGAGAGACGGUCCAGACUCCUACGGGAGGCAGCAGUGGGGAAUAUUGGGCAAUGGGGGAAACCCUGACCCAGCGACGCCGCGUGAGGGAAGAAGGCCUUAGGGUCGUAAACCUCUGUUGUGUGGGAAGAAGAGCGUGACGGUACCACACGAGGAAGUCCCGGCUAACUACGUGCCAGCCGCCGCAGUAAUAC